GACAGAGGUGGCAAGCGUUGUCCGGAAUUACUGGGCGUAAAGAGCGCGUAGGUGGCUAGAUAAGUCCGGUGUGAAAUCCUUCGGCUUAACCGGGGAAUGGCAUCGGGGACUGUAUAGCUAGAGGACGGAAGAGGAGAGCGGAAUUCCCGGUGUAGCGGUGAAAUGCGUAGAGAUCGGGAGGAAGGCCGGUGGCGAAGGCGGCGCUCUGGAACAUUUCUGACGCUGAGGUGCGAAAGCGUGGGGAGCAAACAGG
rnacentral:rRNA from 1 species